GCAGAGUCAAUUAUCAUACGGUUUCACUUAUUUGUGGAGCAUAAGGAAUAACACGGAGGACACUGGGAGAUGGAGAGGAGAAAUUGUGAUGUUGUUGCUAUUCGGUGGUUUGACUUGGUUUUGCUGUAGCCUGGAGUUGCUUAGGAGAGAAGGGAUACAACAGCAGUUUUCCACUCGGCUCAAAUUGGCAAGUAUGAAGGCUUACGUCUUGGUCCCUUCAUCAACAGAGGUGGAAAAUGAGGCCCUAAGAAGGCGGGGAUCUAACCAGUGUCACCUAGCUGGUUGGUGGCAGAGGAAGGGAUGGUACUCAGCUGCUGGCACUGCUUUCGUGAAACCACACAAAGGAACAACUGCCUGGAAACAUCUAUUGCAAGAGCCAGAAUUGGAAGACACUCUUCUCCCUGCCUCCAGACCAGCUUUUGCCUUCUGAUCAACACACUGGCC
rnacentral:lncRNA from 1 species